GCUUCGGGGUCGACGAAGCAUCAUAGAUUUAUUACGUUCAUAAACUUAUGAGAGCAGUUUUUAACGGUCCUCUACCUGAGGAGAGCGAAAUGAGUUGGUACCAGGGAACGUAAGACAGGAUUUUGGUUGUAUGAUCAGGAGAUCUGUGCUACCAUCCCCAUGAACGUUAGUAUUCAAUCCAUAUUGUACUUUAGAAAUUAGAAUGAGCUUGUUAAAAAGUGGACUUGAAGUAAACCUUCCUUCACGUAAGGCUUCGUGCAUACCUUUAAUCUUUUAACGAUAUGACUGGUAAAUGAUUUCAUUUCUUGAAAAAUAAUUCUAGGUACUUUUAUAAUUCAAUUUUUAACCACUUCCAGAUCUUUCGCGACCCCCAAUAUACUUUACGAAGCAGAGUACUUUGGUGGGAUUAACGGAAAUCAAAAUUUUCAGGCCAGGAUAACUUGUCUCAAGCUACACAAAAUUGGAUUUAUUCCCUUCUCAGGUUUACUGGAUAAGCUAUUUGCGAUGAUACAAACCAUCCUUCAGUUACUCAAUCAUAACUGUGUUCCUUGCGUUUACUCAGCUAUAGGUUUUGAUGAGAUGAGAAAGUUGUUGGCUUACUGCCGUUCUUUAUUUUUCUGUAAGUUGUCCAUCAUCGAUGGCUCAAAAGGUGUAAUUCAUUAUAUUUACCUUACAAUAAAUAUCAGUUGCACA